rnacentral:lncRNA from 10 species
CCGUGUGCUGGCUGCCCAGAGAGCCGCAGACAGCGGUCCUCCUCUCUGGCCCCAGGUGUAAAAGAAGGAUGCACCUCUGAACGAGGACUAGAGAUGAGUUUAGAGAAUUCGGGAGUGCGAGGAAGGGUCCAAGAUGUGAGGUUCUCAUCCAAGCACAGAGGAUGAUGGAGGUCUACCUUCCUCUGGGUGAUCCCUGCCGUAUGACCCAGCUCAUCCCUAGAGUUGGGCCACUCCCAGGAUGGUAGGUCAGAUACACCUACAGCACAGUGCUAGAACCAUCCCCACCCCAGCUGCCCAGGCCAACACAAGGGGCAGUGGCAUUUUCCCCCUGCAGACCUGCUGUCAGCCCAAAUGGAGGAUCUAGACACAUCUCAGCUUCCCCAGUUUAACUCAGGAUACAGAUGGGAGAGGGGAUGGUCUAUUUCUGAAACCCAAAGCUUCAGGUGACCUGCCCCUCAUAAAGCCUCAAACGGGUCCUGAGUCUUUGAAAGAGUUCUCAUGCCAUUCCCAAAGCAUGUUCAGUAAUGAAAAGCAUUUCACCGUCUACGCUGCUCCCCGCCUGGCCUGGUCACAUCGGGCCCACUAAACCGACUCACAUGCCCCCACCCCCUUCCCUCAAGCAGGGACUUCACCUCCCUGGGGAGCAGCUUUCUGGCCACCAGAUACCCCUGGAAUCUGGGAGAUACCCCCACCAGAGAAAACCAAAUUUCCAUCCCUCUCUUGACUCAUACCAGUGCCAGGCAACUCUCUGACUGCUACCCAUCUUCCUCUCCAUGCUAGGGGAGGCCCAGAUAGAAAGUUGGGAGGGAAUGGCUUCCCCAGAGAAGAGCUUGACAGCAAGCUCUGGAAGAUACAAUUGCACCCCUUUAAGUGAUACAAGGUCAGAGUGCAGGAAGAGGAGGGCAACAAGAGAAGUCAUAACCACAGAACCUAAGAGCAAGAAUUGCCCAAAAAGAUGACAUAAGCAAGUGCAUCCUAGGCAUGGAUCAUUUUUCAGAAGCUCCCCACCACCACCAGAAGAUUCUUAUAUGCAGCAAAUGUUGAGAACCACUGCUCCAGGCCAAUCUUCUUAUUUUGAAGAGAAGGAAGCAGACUGAAUGACUUGGCACAGUGACUUGGACAAGGAUGUUCAUUUAUUCAUUCAAUAAACCAGGUCUCCUAACUCCUGG